AUUGAACGCUGGCGGCCGGCCUAACACAUGCAAGUCGAACGAGUGGCGGACGGGUGAUUAAUGUCUGGGAAUCUGCCCUAUGGCGGGGGCUCUCUACUGGACACUGUUUCUUAUACCACAUACUAUCGUAUGCCCCCAUAUGGUAUUAGUUAGUAGGUGGGGUAAUGGCUCACCUAGGCGACGCUCCCUAGCUGGUCUGAGAGGAUGACCAGCCACACUGGAACUGAGACACGGACCAGACUCCUAAGGGAGGCAGCAGUGGGGAAUAUUGCACAAUGGGCGCAAGCCUGAUGCAGCCAUGCCGCGUGUAUGAAGAAGGCCUUCGGGUUGUAAAGUACUUUCAGCGAGGAGGCGUUACGCGCAGAAGAAGCACCGGCUAACUCCGUGCCAGCCGCCGCGGUAAUAC
rnacentral:rRNA from 1 species